CUCAGCGUUCUCUGCGGGGGACACGGAGCCGGGUGCCCACCCGCUGCUUCAGGUUCCCCCUCCCUGAGUCUGCCCCCACGGUGAACAGCCUGCAGCUCUGUCCCUGCGGCCCUCAGGGCAGCCUUCACAGCCUCUGCUGCCCCGUUUCACAGUGAGAGGAUAGACUCCCGGACAAGUUCCAUGACUCGCUCAGGAUCUCAGAGCACCUGCUUGGGGCAGGGGGCAGCUCUGGACCCUUCCGGCCGCGGCAGCUGAUCGCUCAGAAUGUUCCUCCAUCAGCCACUCCUCCCCACCUUCCCGCUGUUCCACCUGUGCGGGUCCUCAGGGAGGAGAAGAAGGCAAUCAGGCAUCAGAUGCCUGAUGGAAUUGUUGGGGUUGAGUCAGCCUCCUCCCCUGCUACGGGGUUUCGUGGGACUGGCUGUGGAGCUUUGGCGGCCUCAGGAGCACCUGAGCUUGAAGGGGUGGCGGGGGGAGCCGCGGUGGGUGCAUCAGAGGGGUGCUAGGGGCCCGGCCUCAGCAGCCUUACCUGACAGCCUUGGCACCAGAAGCCUUCACAAGGUCAUGAUUCGGUAAUUACAGGCUUCCUCUGACGGCUGGGACAUAGGUCUGUGCACACCUGUGUGUGUGUAUACACACGUGUGUGCAUGCCGCCUGGUGCUCGUGCAUACUGGGGGCUCUGGGGACCGAGAGGGAGCUGGGGUCUGGUUGGUGUCUGACUGCCCCUCCGUCCAGGUCUGAGAAGCCGGGAUGCUUGUGGGACUCACAGCUCUGCUCCCAGGCUGGCCAGGCGGGGGCGGCUGGACCCCCCACCGGUCCCACUGCCCCUCUUCCUUCCGCUCUCAGUGUGGACGGAGGCCCAACGGUGCUGGGAGGCUGGGCCUCACCGCGCCCUCUCCAGCAGCCUGGGGGCGCCCACAGGGUGGCGGGGCGGUGCUGGGCCCCGAGAUGUUCCCUGCCCAGGACAGCUGCCCACCAGAACCAGGUUUCCUCAGGGUGGGCAGCCCUCCAUUCCCUCCGCAAGAAGCCAGGAAGCCUGAGACCCUCAUCCGGCCCUCUGGGACCAGGCAGGAACUGACCCCGUGCUCCAGGCACGGUCCUGGUCCCUUUAGUCCCCACAGCCGCUCCGAUUUGGAGUUGGAAUUGGAGUCCCUGUGUGGCAGGCGCAAAGCCAAGGCUCAGGGCUCGCCCAAGGUCAUAGCGUACACUGGGAGCACCGGGACUCCAGAAGCCUCAGAGCCACGGAGAGGCUGAGGUGGUGCGGUGCUCCCCUCCGGAGCCCGUGGUCUGGGGAAGAGGUGAGAACAAAGAAUGACCGGCAGCCAGUGCUCAGAGGACACGGACACGCACAGGGAGGCAGCGGUGGCAGCGGGCGGGCGGGCGGAGGUCAGUGUGGGCAGAGGCUCUGUGUGGCAGAAGGAGCACCGCCCUCGCAGUGCAGCUGGAGCACGGAGCGGGGGCAGAGCCGCUGUGGCUGCAGGACCGCGUCCAGUGAGGGGGUGCCUCGGGGGGGGGGCGGCAGGGUCGGAGGGGCUCGGAGGGAGGUAAGGAGCCCUCGAGACAGGCGUUGCCACAGGUGUGCCCCCAGCCCACAUGGACUAGGGGGCUGGCGUCCGGUCACAGGACCCAGCUCCACACCACGCUGCCCCUGAGAUGCAAGCUUCCUGGGGCCGAAGGGGUGAAGGCUGCCCUGCCCACCUUGCUGCCUCUUGGGACUGUUUCCAGGCUCAAGUGAAACCAAGGCUGGAAGUUGUCCUGACCACCCUCCCCCGGGGAGGGUCCUCUGGUGUGAGAGGUUUUCUAAGCUCCUCUUUGCAAGGGGCCACAGCGCUCCUACCAGCCCGUGUAGCCCCAGGCCAGCCUGGGGCCGCGUCCCCUACCUGUACAGAAGCCCAUCCUAGCGAGGAAGGGCGUGCUGGAGGGAGCUCUACCCUCAAAGGAGCAGACAGCCCUCCAUAAAUGCUUUGUUUUCUGUAAUUAGGCCAUUUCACCCCUCCUUGGACCACUUUACUGGAGGCAGCUUUGAGUGACGCUCAGUGGAUCUUUUGCUCCGUUUUACUAGAAGGAGUCCGAGGGCCAUUCGUCCAUCCCCCUGCAUCCAAGCAGCAUUACUGUCCAAUCAUCAUGCAGGGUGGCGUCCCCCGACCCUGGGCGUCAGGAAAUACCAAGCGCCUAACCCGAGUCCAGCCUGUGGGACUUUCAGCUCCUUCCUCCUCCCGGAGAAGACACUUUGUGGGCUUUCAGGGGAGAAGCUCCUCUCCAGGGAGGGCUGGAAGAGCGACCUCUGGGGUCAGGUCCCCUCAGAGGGGGUAACCAGCAGCCCGGUUGGGGCUUGAUGCGGGAGGGAACCUCCCCUCCUGCCCAACAGCUGACCUUGAGCCCCUGACCCGCGGGAGGCACGUGAAGGGUCAGCAGAACUGACCAGCGGGUCUCCGCGCCGCGUCCCUUCGCCCCGCUUCCAGCCCGCAUGCCCCCAGCCAGGAGUGCCGGUGGAGCACACGCCCGCGCUUGCAGCCUGGAAACCCCGAGUCAGCGUUUUCCGCAGACCCGGCCGGUGCCUGGCUGGUCGGUGCCCAGCGCGAGCGCGGUGCCGCCGCCGCAGUGCGGUGGCCGCUCGGGCGAUGUGGCUGGCGGGCUGGGGACGCAGGGAGGAGGGGACACAGAGGGCUUGCAGGGCUGGGGGUUCCCAGGGUUCCUCGGCUCUGACGCUGCAGAGGUGAGGCGCCCCGGGGAGCCUGGCUAAGUUCUGUCCUAACACACCGGAUUUGGGGGGGUCACUUCCA
rnacentral:lncRNA from 1 species